UGCCAUCCUUGGCCCCUCCUUUUCAUCUGAGAAUUGGCUAAAUGGCAAAUAAAUAAUCAAGCCAGUGUAUGGGUGGAGUAGCCAUUGGGAAGUUGAUGUCUACUUAUGUAAUUACAAAACUAUUUGAAAGGGUAACAGUUGUGGCAAUGGAUAUAAAGUGCUUCUCUCCCCACCCUUUAUUUUGCUCCUUGUCUCUCAGCAAUAAUUCUCCAGGACUCUGGCUUACAGCGUGUUUAGGAGCAGCUCUCUAGUAUCAAACUUCCUUCUACAGUGGUCAAGAUUCAGCUUCCCAAGAGUAAUAAUGAUUCCUCCCUCAGGACUUUUCCCUCAGCCUGUUUGCUUUGUUGGAAGUGAGAGCAUUCCUUCACAUCUCCUCUAACACGUGCUUAACGAACAUCUUCUGUGCCCGAGCACACAACAUCCUUACCCUUGAAGAAAGCAGCCCCAGCAAGGAGAAUGCUGACAU